UACGUAGGGUGUGAGCGUUCAUCGGAAUUACUGGGCGUAAAGCGUGCGUAGGCGGUUCCUCAAGUCCGUUGUGAAAGCCCCGGGCUCAACCUGGGAAUGGCAGUGGAAACUAGGGGACUGGAAUCUGGCAGAGGGGGGUGGAAUGCCGCGUGUAGCAGUGAAAUGCGUAGAGAUGCGGCGGAACACCGAUGGCGAAGGCAGCCCCCUGGGCUGAGAUUGACGCUCAGGCACGAAAGCGUGGGGAGCAAACAGG
rnacentral:rRNA from 1 species